rfam:Stegodyphus mimosarum contig57651, whole genome shotgun sequence.
GCCUUCGUGGUGUAGUGAUCAGAACAUUCGACGCCUAUUCGAGAGGUCCAUGGUUCGAGUCCCGGCGAAGGCA